UACGUAGGGUGCGAGCGUUAAUCGGAAUUACUGGCGUAAGCGUGCGCAGGCGGUUCGUUGUGUCUGAUGUGAAAGCCCCGGGCUCAACCCUGGGAAUGGCAUUGGAAACUGGCGAGCUAGAGUGUGGCAGAGGGGGGUGGAAUUCCGCGUGUAGCAGUGAAAUGCGUAGAGAUGCGGAGGAACACCGAUGGCGAAGGCAGCCCCCUGGGUCAAGAUUGACGCUCAUGCACGAAAGCGUGGGGAGCAAACAGG
rnacentral:rRNA from 1 species